rnacentral:rRNA from 1 species
GACGAACCGUGCGAACGUUGUUCGGAAUCACUGGGCUUAAAGGGCGCGUAGGCGGGCUAUCAAGUCCGGGGUGAAAUCCUCCAGCUUAACUGGAGAACGGCCUCGGAUACUGAUGGUCUCGAGGAGGAUAGGGGCACACGGAACUGUGGGUGGAGCGGUGAAAUGCGUUGAUAUCCAUAGGAACGCCGGUGGCGAAAGCGGUGUGCUGGAUCCUUUCUGACGCUGAGGCGCGAAAGCCAGGGGAGCAAACGGG